CCCGCUCGGGCGGGCGCCACUUGAGGGUGGCCGUGGUGUCGGUGACGUCCUCCAGCGUCAGGAUCCUCCAGCCCCACAGCGGGUCACCCCAGACCUCCAGGCGGACCCCCAGACCCCCAGGAGAACCCCCCAGACCUCGUCCCGGACCCCCAACUCCAUCCUGGACCCCCCAACCCCCCCGCUCCCUCCCCGCGCCCCCCCAGCCCCACAGCAGGUCACCCCAGACCUCCAGGCGGACCCCCGGACCCCCAGGAGAACCCCUUGAACCUUCUCCCGGACCACCAAACCCCCUCCUUGCUCCCCCAACCCCCCCUGCUCCCUCCCCGCGUCCCCCCAGCCCCACAGCAGGUCACCCCAGACCUCCAGGCGGACCCCCAGACCCCCAGAAGAACCCCUUGAACCUUCUCCCGGACCACCAAACCCCCUCCUUGCUCCCCCAAGCCCCCCUGCUCCCUCCCCGCGUCCCCCCAGCCCCACAGCGGGUCACCCCAGACCUCCAGGCGGACCCCCAGACCCCCAGAAGAACCCCUUGAACCUUCUCCCGGACCACCAAACCCCCUCCUUGCUCCCCCAACCCCCCCUGCUCCCUCCCCGCGCCCCCCCAGCCCCACAGCAGGUCACCCCAGACCUCCAGGCGGACCCCCAGACCCCCAGAAGAACCCCUUGAACCUUCUCCCGGACCACCAAACCCCCUCCUUGCUCCCCCAACCCCCCCUGCUCCCUCCCCGCGUCCCCCCAGCCCCACAGCAGGUCACCCCAGACCUCCAGGCGGACCCCAGACCCCCAGGAGAACCCCCCAGACCUUCUCCCAGACCACCAAACCCCCUCCUGGACCCCCCCAACCCCCCCUGCUCCCUCCCCGCGCCCCCCCAGCCCCACAGCAGGUCACCCCAGACCUCCAGGCGGACCCCCAGACCCCCAGAAGAACCCCUUGAACCUUCUCCCGGACCACCAAACCCCCUCCUUGCUCCCCCAACCCCCCCUGCUCCCUCCCCGCGUCCCCCCAGCCCCACAGCGGGUCACCCCAGACCUCCAGGCGGACCCCCAGACCCCCAGAAGAACCCCUUGAACCUUCUCCCGGACCACCAAACCCCCUCCUUGCUCCCCCAACCCCCCCUGCUCCCUCCCCGCGCCCCCCAGCCCCACAGCGGGUCACCCCAGACCCCCAGGCAGACCCCCAGACCCCCAGGAGAACCCCUUGAACCUUCUCCCGGACCACCAAACCCCCUCCUGGACCCCCCCAACCCCCCCCGCUCCCUCCCCGCGCCCCCCCAGCCCCACAGCAGGUCACCCCAGACCCCCAGGCGGACCCCCAGACCCCCAGAAGAACCCCUUGAACCUUCUCCCGGACCACCAAACCCCCUCCUUGCUCCCCCAAGCCCCCCCAGCCCCCCGGGCAGCCCCCCCCCCCGCGGCGCGGCCCCCACCGAUGGGCAUGAAGGGCUGCGUGUUGUGGCUGGGCUGGGAGAUGCCGAUGGCGUUGACGGCGAAGACGCGCAUCUCGUAGAGGACGCCCUCGAUCAUCUUGGUGGACUCGUAGCUGGUGCCCGCGUAGACCUCAAAGUUGACCUUCAUCCAGCGCAUGGAGCCCUUCUUCUUGCGCUCGAUGAGGCCCGGCGUCCCUGUCCCCAGCCCGCGUCCCCGUCCCCUGCUUACCGACCACCUUGAUGAAGAGGACGGCGGAGUCCUCGCCGACGGGGUUGGUCACCUUGAUGGUGUAGCGCGCCUCGUCCCCGCGCUCGGCGCUCUCGAUGACGAAGCUGCUCAGCUCCUUCUCCUCCUCGAUGUGACGGUGGGCGCCGGCUCGCCGGAGAUGGGCACGUCCAGGCGCAGCUUGUUGCCCGCCACCAC